CCACCCCUCACUUCCGCUCUCAACUCAGAUUACAGCUGCAAUUCCACAAUCUGUAUCCACGGUUGUUUCAAGGGGAAAUCAGUGUUACUUAAUCACCUCCAGUGUCACUGACGUUUUUCCUCAAGUCUGAACUUUGCUGGCGGUGCAUCUAUGAUUUUAAGGCCACAGGACUACCUGAUACAGCAGAAUUCUAUUGUAA